GAUGAACGCUGGCGGCGUGCCUAAUACAUGCAAGUCGAGCGAACAGAUGAGGAGCUUGCUCCUCUGACGUUAGCUGCGGACGGGUUAGUAACACUUGGAUAACCUACCUAUAAGACUGUGAUAACUUCGGGAAACCGGAGCUAAUACCGGAUAAUAUAUUUAACCGCAUGGUUCAAUAGUGAAAGACGGUUUUGCUGUCACUUAUAUAUGGAUCCGCGCCGCAUUAGCUAGUUGGUAAGGUAACGGCUUACCAAGGCAACGAUGCGUAGCCGACCUGAGAGGGUGAUCGGACAAAAGGGAAAUGAGACACGGUCAAGAAUCCGACGGGAGGAAGCAGUAGGGAAUCUUCCGCAAUGGGCGAAAGCCUGACGGAGCAAAGACGCGUGAGUGAUGAAGGUAUUCGGAUCGUAAAACUCUGUUAUUAGGGAAGAACAAAUGUGUAAGUAACUAUGCACGUCUUGACGGUACCUAAUCAGAAAGCCACGGCUAACUACGUG
rnacentral:rRNA from 1 species